UACGUAGGCAGCAAGCGUUGUUCGGAGUUACUGGGCGUAAAGAGUAUGUAGGCGGUUGCGUAAGUUCGGUGUGAAAUCUCCCGGCUUAACUGGGAGGGUGCGCCGAAAACUGCGUGGCUUGAGUGCGGGGAGAGGAGAGCGGAAUUCCUGGUGUAGCGGUGAAAUGCGUAGAUAUCAGGAGGAACACCGGCGGUGUAGACGGCUCUCUGGACCGUAACUGACGCUGAGAUACGAAAAGCUGGGUAGCAAACAGG
rnacentral:rRNA from 1 species